rnacentral:rRNA from 1 species
UACGGAGGGUGCGAGCGUUGUCCGGAAUCACUGGGCGUGAAGGGCGCGUAGGCGGCGCGGGUAGUCAUCGGUGAAAGUUCAGGGCUCAACUCUGAAUCGGCCGGUGAUACUCCCGUGCUCGAGCACUGUAGAGGCAGGUGGAAUUCCGGGUGUAGCGGUGGAAUGCGUAGAGAUCCGGAAGAACACCGGUGGCGAAGGCGGCCUGCUGGGCAGUAGCUGACGCUGAUGCGCGACAGCGUGGGGAGCAAACAGG